rnacentral:lncRNA from 1 species
GCCAUGUCAGAAUAACGUGUCAGUUUAUUUAUAACCGUUCCUUCAGUCUUCAGUUUAGCGUCAAACCUUUAGUUUGUUUACAAUAACCGAAUAAAAUAACGAAACUUCCACAUUUGUCUCUAAACCGUCUGAUAAUUUGUCCACACAAAUUUCUUGGACGUUAUAAACAUUUAAACUUACCUUAAACCCCGAAUAAUACCAACGUUUUAGUGCGUUGAUGAAUAAACUCCAGACCAGACGCGCCUCGGCUCAGCGCGCAGAACAGCGCAUGCGCACGGGCGGACUCAUUAGAAUCACAGACACGCGCCUACAUCUGGAAAAAACAGAGUUGAUUUUUGGAGAUUCACUCUCUAAAGGUCCAGGAUGAAUUCCACAUGGAUCAUUUCUGUUCCAUAUCCCAGAUCACCCGUGAUUCCCUGUGACUCCUUGACCUUCAGGGACAUUAAACCUGAAGCUCCCAAACACAGAGGAUCAGUGGCUCGACUGCGAGGAGUAAAACACUCUCCGACUGAGGGACCGAAGUCAAAACGUUUUUUUGGACUUGGACGGCGGACAAAUGCUCCCACUGCAAGGACAAAAUUAUAUCCUGCACAUUCUCAGUUUCUUCAAUGUUGUCUGCAUUUCUUUUUCUCGUUCUCGCAAAUAUCACUAUUUUUCUCUCCUCCAGCUGCUGUUUCUUCUCAAAGUCAAUGACCACAGACACACCCUGGUCCUCGAGCCAAAUACUCUCACUGCCCACACUGGCUUCCCGCAACACUUUUACAAACUUCUCACAGCGUUUAUGUAACUUUUAAUAGCGUCUGC